GAAAAGCGAAAAGUUUCCACCCAAGUUGAGAAGAAAUGCAACAACAAUGACGACGAGAAAGAGAGAGACACACCGAUAAUAAGAUAAGCGGCCAGAAGAGACGAGAAAGAUAAGCGGCGAGAGUUAGGGUUCUUCGUCGGCUUCGAGAGAGAAAGAACAAUUUUUUUCUUAUUCUUUUUAGUCUUCUACCUUUUCCUUGGCCUAUUCCAAUCUGACAUAGACACCUUUUUUUUGCAACAAAUGAAACAUGGUAUAUGAGAUUUCGAUAUAGUGGCAAAAUAACAAGACAGUAAUGAGAUUAUGAGAUAGUGCCAUAGGUUUACC
rnacentral:lncRNA from 1 species